AACGAACGCUGGCGGCAUGCUUAUCACAUGCAAGUCGAACGGGCGCCUUCGGGCGUUAGUGGCGCACGGGUGAGUAACGCGUGGGAACCUGUCAUGAAGUGGGGAACAACCACUGGAAACGGUGGCUAAUACCGCAUACGCCCUGAGGGGCAAAGGCUUCGGCCGCUUUGUGAGGGGCCCGCGUCCGAUUAGCUAGUUGGUGGGGUAACGGCCUACCAAGGCUACGAUCGGUAGCUGGUCUGAGAGGAUGAUCAGCCACACUGGGACUGAGACACGGCCCAGACUCCUACGGGAGGCAGCAGUGGGGAAUAUUGGACAAUGGGCGAAAGCCUGAUCCAGCAAUGCCGCGUGAGUGAAGAAGGCCUUAGGGUUGUAAAGCUCUUUCGCCUGCGACGAUGAUGACGGUAGCAGGAGAAGAAGCCCCGGCUAAUUCCGUGCCAGCAGCCGCGGUAAU
rnacentral:rRNA from 1 species